AACACGUGGAUAACUUACCCUUAGGUGGAGGAUAACCUCGGGAAACUGAGAAUAAUACUCCAUAGAUCUAGGAGGCUGGAAUGCAUCUAGGUCAAAAGCUCCGGCGCCUAAGGAUAGGUCUGCGGACUAUCAGGUUGUAGUCAGGGUAAUGACCUGACUAGCCUACGACGGAUAUGGGUUGUGAGAGCAAUAGCCCAGAGACGAUAUCUGAGACACGAUAUCGGGCCCUACGGGGCGCAGCAGGCGCGAAAUCUUCACACUGUGCGAAAGCACGAUGAGGGGAUCCCAAGUGCUAGCACGUAAGUGUUAGCUGUUUCUUAGUCUAAAUCACUGAGAGAGUAAGGGCUGGGUAAGACGGGUGCCAGCCGCCGCGGUAAUACCUGCAGCUCAAGUGGUGGCCGCUAUUAUUGGGCCUAAAACGUCCGUAGC
rnacentral:rRNA from 1 species